rnacentral:piRNA from 1 species
UAAUUCUUCACCUCAACUUGAAAAGUUC